GGGCCGUUAGCUCAGGUGGUAGAGCAGCUGACUCUUAAUCAGCGGGUCUAAGGUUCGAGUCCUUAACGGCCCACCA
rnacentral:tRNA from 1 species